AGGAUUGAGGGGUUGGAAGAGACCUUUAGAACAGCUGGUCGUUAUGCCAACCGGGUGUCCGCACUAAGUUCAGCAUUAAAAUGGUGACCUCCUGGGAGCAGGGGGCCACCAGGUUGCCUAAGGAUGAGUGAACUGGCACAAAUCAGAAAGGGAGCAGGUCAGAACUCCCACACCGACCAGUAGUGGGACUGUGCCUGGGCAAUAUAGCAAGAUCUUGGUUUUU
rnacentral:sRNA from 1 species